GACGAACGCUGGCGGCGUGCUUAACACAUGCAAGUCGAACGGAAAGGCCCUUCAGGGUACUCGAGUGGCGAACGGAUGAGUAACACGUGGGUGAUCUGCCCUGCACUCUGGGAUAAGCCUGGGAAACUGGGUCUAAUACCGGAUAGGACCACACACUUCAUGGUGAGUGGUGCAAAGCUUUUGCGGUGUGGGAUGAGCCCGCGGCCUAUCAGCUUGUUGGUGGGGUAAUGGCCCACCAAGGCGACGACGGGUAGCCGGCCUGAGAGGGUGACCGGCCACACUGGGACUGAGAUACGGCCCAGACUCCUACGGGAGGCAGCAGUGGGGAAUAUUGCACAAUGGGCGCAAGCCUGAUGCAGCGACGCCGCGUGAGGGAUGACGGCCUUCGAGUUGUAAACCUCUUUCAGUAGGGACGAGGCGAAAGUGACGGUACCUACAGAAGAAGGACCGGCCAACUACGUGCCAGCAGCCGCGGUAAUACGUAGGGUCCGAGCGUUGUCCGGAAUUACUGGGCGUAAAGAGCUCGUAGGUGGUUUGUCGCGUUGUUCGUGAAAACUCACAGCUUAACUGUGGGCGUGCGGGCGAUACGGGCAGACUAGAGUACUGCAGGGGAGACUGGAAUUCCUGGUGUAGCGGUGGAAUGCGCAGAUAUCAGGAGGAACACCGGUGGCGAAGGCGGGUCUCUGGGCAGUAACUGACGCUGAGGAGCGAAAGCGUGGGUAGCGAACAGGAUUAGAUACCCUGGUAGUCCACGCCGUAAACGGUGGGUACUAGGUGUGGGUUUCCUUCCUUGGGAUCCGUGCCGUAGCUAACGCAUUAAGUACCCCGCCUGGGGAGUACGGUCGCAAGACUAAAACUCAAAGGAAUUGACGGGGGCCCGCACAAGCGGCGGAGCAUGUGGAUUAAUUCGAUGCAACGCGAAGAACCUUACCUGGGUUUGACAUGCACAGGACGUACCUAGAGAUAGGUAUUCCCUUGUGGCCUGUGUGCAGGUGGUGCAUGGCUGUCGUCAGCUCGUGUCGUGAGAUGUUGGGUUAAGUCCCGCAACGAGCGCAACCCUUGUCCUAUGUUGCCAGCGGGUAAUGCCGGGGACUCGUAGGAGACUGCCGGGGUCAACUCGGAGGAAGGUGGGGAUGACGUCAAGUCAUCAUGCCCCUUAUGUCCAGGGCUUCACACAUGCUACAAUGGCCAGUACAGAGGGCUGCGAAGCCGCAAGGUGGAGCGAAUCCCUUAAAGCUGGUCUCAGUUCGGAUUGGGGUCUGCAACUCGACCCCAUGAAGUCGGAGUCGCUAGUAAUCGCAGAUCAGCAACGCUGCGGUGAAUACGUUCCCGGGCCU
rnacentral:rRNA from 1 species